CAUCAUCGGUGCACUGUGUGCUGAUUAGCCCCAAAAAGGGCGAAACAGCUGUCCACAGUUGCCGUUGUUUGAGCUU